CGACCAUGCCUCCCUCGACCCCGCACCGCUACGCCACCUUGCCUCCGCCCGCCGGUGCACGCCGCCACCUCACCGGACCCCAGGAGCCCCGCCGCCUCGCGCUGCCUCCUGCGCCACGUCGCGUGCCGCCACCUCCCCACAAGCUCACCGCCCCGCCGCGGAAGCCUCGUCGCGAGUCGCCCCGACCUCGAGAUCCGCCGUCGCCAUGGGAGCCGAGCACCGAGCUCCUCUGCGCCCCGCCAACGUCCCCGCGUCGCCGCCACCUCCCCACAAGCUCGCCGCCCCGCCGCGGAAGGCUCGUCGCCGGUCGCCCCGACCUCGAGAUCCGCCGCCGCCAUGGGAGCUGAGCACCGAGCUCCUCUGCGCCCCGCCAGGGUCCCCGCGUCGCCGCCGCCACCCCACGCUGCCUCGUGCCCGUUGCUCCGCUGUACGCUGUGCUCAAGCCCUGUUUUUCUUCUAUUCCCCUUUCCAAGUCUUCCUCUCAUCUUAUCCAUGGGAGGCCGCAGCCGUCAGGUCGCUGCUGCUGCUGGUGGCGUGAUUGCCAUCGCUGUGAGAUUGCUGUUGUUCUUGGCGCCGCUUCUCGUCGUGGUCGGUGCCGUGUGGAGGCUGCUCCCGCUCCCCUGCUCCUUGCGUCUUCGUGGCCGCCGCAGCUGCCGGUGGAGCACGGGCUGCUGCUGGCCAUCGGCCCACCCCCGGUCUGUUGCUUCUCUAGCUCCUUGUGUCACUCUUGGUUCGAUCUUUAGCGCUGGAGCAACAUAGUUCCUGUAGGUGGGAUAGCAUCUUGGCUGGAUUGUUUGAUGUGGCCUGUUUUGCCUGUUCAGGUAUGCCAACAGCUUGUCGAACAUGUCUAUAUGCGUGUAAGCAAUUAAACCUGGGGAGAGGAGUUAGUUUGCAAGUUAUAAUUCUGUUUUAUCUUACAUGUGAGGAUUAGAAAUGCUCUUGUACACUGGUUUUCCCUUGCUGUACAUCACUGAACUUGGUUCAGUUAAAAACUGCAGUGCCUGACAGUUCUGGACAGCAAGCUUCUAUCUAAAAAAUGAGUUAGCUAGCUUAGAAUUUAGAGUUGGCCCCUUUACAUAAGUUUUAGAUAAAGUCCCAAGGUUUCCGUAGAGUACUUAUUUGCUUCGUUUGGAUGUACGGUUUGAGAGCAGCCAUCAUUUUAGUUUUCUGUCCCGAAAUUUAUGUUCCUGGGGUGCAGAAUUUGUUGUAUGGCAGUUUAGGCCAUGCUAGAGGUUUAAUUAAAUUAAAGUCACAACACAAAAAUUGUAGAGGAUAUUCUGCAGAUGCUUAAACAUAUAUUAUUUGUUAGAUUUCAUGUUAUACACUAAAUCCUAUGGAAUUAUUAAGAUGACUGUACUAUGUUGGACAGAAUUUUACGUUUGAUUUGGUGAUUGUAACUAGACUUAUACUAAGAUUUUGUCAUCGUUGAUGAUAUGAGGACUUAUAAUGUGAUAACAUACGCAUGAGCUGGGGUCUUGUACGUAGGAGCGCCACUAAAUUAUAUAUUCUUAUGUGUUGAGACCAUGCUUUGCUGUGACUGAGAUAUAUGCUUGAUGACAAGUGUGGGUACUUCGGGUUCGGAACCGUUUGCCUCACAAUUUGUGCCCCGCGGUUGAGGUAAGUUCACGACGGGAUAAUGACUUGCAUAAUCUCUACAUUCCAUUUUUAUUUAUGAUAUCUUCCAUGUCAAUGAUGUUUAUUAUGAUGGCGAUGACGAUGACCAUGAUAUGUUGAUUCAAGUACUAUGCUUGCAUUUGCAUACUUGCACUCAUGAUGAUAGUGAAUGAAGGCGUGCACUACCUUGGUGGGAACAUUGAGACCUUCAUUGUUGGGUUGAGACCUACUUUGGAGGCAAUCUCCACAUAUUGGAGUGAGUGGAUGUCGACGGGCGUCCAGUCAAGCUAUACCGGUAAAUCUUGAGGACGACAUGCAUGGGAGUCUUGGGAGUAGCAUCCUCCUCGCCGCACGGGCCCCCUCCUUGCUGCACGGGCCUCCUCCUUGCCGCAGUGACGCCCCUCGCCGGAGUAGCGCCGGCCAAGCCCAUCGGCCACCAGUGUUUUUGUUAUGCAGGUUGGAAGAAAAGAAGAUCCAGAGAAGAUCUUAGUAAUAAGAUAGUUUUGACUUCGUGAAACUUGCUACCUAUGGAUGAAACUGUGUAAUAUUGAUGGAACUAUGUAUAUGUAUGGAUGAAACUUGCUACUAUUGGUAAUAUGUGUUGGAUAUAUA